rnacentral:rRNA from 1 species
UGGGGGAGUAUUGCCAAUGUGGGCAAACCGGAUGCACCAUGCCCGCGUUGUAAAGAAGGCCUUCGGUUUUUAANGCAUAUCUUCGGGGAGGAAGGGGAUAAGGGUAAUAACCUUUUCGAUUGACGUACUCGCAGAAAAAACACCGGGUUACUCCGUGCCAGCAGCCGCGGUAAUAUGGAAGGGGCAAGCGUUAAUCGGAAUUACUGGGCGUAAAGCGCACACAGGCGGUCUGUCAAGUCGGAUGUGAAAUCCCCGGGCUCAACCUGGGAACUGCAUUUGAAAAUGGCAGGCUAGAGUUUUNUUAGGGGGGUAGAAUUCCAGGUGUAGCGGUGAAAAGCGUAGAGAUCUGGAGGAAUNCCGGUGGCGAAGGCGGCCCCCUGGACAAAGACUACGCUCAGGUGCGAAAGCGUGGGGAGCAAACAGGAUUAGAUACCCUGGUAGUCCACGCUGUAAACGAUGUCGAUUUGGGGGUUGAGCUUUAAGCUUGGCGCCCGUAGCUAACGUGAUAAAUCGACCGCCUGGGGAGUACGGCCGCAAGGUUA